rnacentral:rRNA from 1 species
UACGUAGGGGGCAAGCGUUGUCCGGAUUUAUUGGGCGUAAAGAGCGUGUAGGCGGCCAUGUAGGUCCGUUGUGAAAACUCGAGGCUCAACCUCGAGACGCCGAUGGAAACCAUGUGGCUAGAGUCCGGAAGAGGAGAGUGGAAUUCCUGGUGUAGCGGUGAAAUGCGCAGAUAUCAGGAGGAACACCCGUGGCGAAAGCGGCUCCUCUGGGACGGU